GAGGGUGUAGCUCAGUGGCAGAGCACAUGCCUAGCAUACACAAGGUCCUGGGUUCAAUCCCCAGUGCUUCCA
rnacentral:tRNA from 1 species